UACGUAGGGUGCAAGCGUUGUCCGGAAUUAUUGGGCGUAAAGAGCUCGUAGGCGGUCUGUCGCGUCGGCUGUGAAAACCCGGAGCUCAACUCCGGGCCUGCAGUCGAUACGGGCAGACUGGAGUUCGGCAGGGGAGACUGGAAUUCCUGGUGUAGCGGUGAAAUGCGCAGAUAUCAGGAGGAACACCGGUGGCGAAGGCGGGUCUCUGGGCCGAUACUGACGCUGAGGAGCGAAAGCGUGGGGGAGCGAACAGG
rnacentral:rRNA from 1 species